rnacentral:misc_RNA from 1 species
AAGAUUCGACCUUCGGGUCUAUCUUCUCUUCAGCUGUGCGCUUCGGCUGCACGCUGUUGAACUUCACACACCUGUGCACACUUCGGUUGUGGCUGGUUAACUCUGGUCGCUUCCGCUUUUACAUUUAACAACCAAGUCUAGAAUGUCAAAUACAAUAAAAUAA